rnacentral:rRNA from 1 species
AACGAACGCUGGCGGCAUGCCUAACACAUGCAAGUCGAACGAGAGCUUCGGCUCUAGUGGCGCACGGGUGCGUAACGCGUGGGAAUCUGCCCUUGGGUUCGGAAUAACAGUUGGAAACGACUGCUAAUACCGGAUGAAGUCGAUAAGACCAAAGAUUUAUCGCCCGAGGAUGAGCCCGCGUCGGAUUAGCUAGUUGGUGGGGUAAAGGCCUACCAAGGCGACGAUCCGUAGCUGGUCUGAGAGGAUGAUCAGCCACACUGGGACUGAGACACGGCCCAGACUCCUACGGGAGGCAGCAGUGGGGAAUAUUGGACAAUGGGCGCAAGCCUGAUCCAGCAAUGCCGCGUGAGUGAUGAAGGCCUUAGGGUUGUAAGGCUCUUUUACCCGGGAAGAUAAUGACUGUACCGGGAGAAUAAGCCCCGGCUAACUCCGUGCCAGCCGCCGCCGUAA